CAGCCGCCGCGGUAAUACCGGCGGCCCGAGUGGCGGUCACUAUUAUUGGGCUUAAAACGUCCGUAGCCGGGUUGGGAAGUCCUCCGGGAAAUCUGGCCGCUUAACGGUCAGAAUGCCGGAGGAUACUCCCAGCCUAGGGAGCGGGAGAGGCCGAGGGUAUUCCCGGAGUAGGGGGGAAAUCCUAUAAACCCGGGAGGACCACCUGUGGCGAAGGCGCUCGGCUGGAACGCGUCCGACGGUGAGGGACGAAGGCCAGGGGAGCAAACCGGAUUAGAUACCCGGGUAGUCCUGGCUGUAAACGAUGCGGACUUUGUGUCGGACAAGCUAUGAGCUUGUCCGGUGCCGGAGGGAAACCGUUAAGUCCGCCGCCUGGGGAGUACGGCCGCAAGGCUGAAACUUAAAGGAAUUGGCGGG
rnacentral:rRNA from 1 species